rnacentral:rRNA from 1 species
AUUGAACGCUGGCGGCAUGCCUUACACAUGCAAGUCGAACGGUAACAGGUCUUUCGGGAUGCUGACGAGUGGAGAACGGGUGAGUAAUACAUCGGAACGUGCCUAGUAGUGGGGGAUAACUACUCGAAAGAGUGGCUAAUACCGCACGAGAUCUAUGGAUGAAAGCAGGGGACAUUCGGGCCUUGUGCUACUAGAGCGGCCGAUGGCAGAUUAGGUAGUUGGUGAGAUAAAAGCUUACCAAGACUGCGAUCUGUAGCUGGUCUGAGAGGACGAUCAGCCACACUGGGACUGAGACACGGCCCAGACUCCUACGGGAGGCAGCAGUGGGGAAUUUUGGACAAUGGGCGCAAGCCUGAUCCAGCAAUGCCGCGUGCAGGAUGAAGGCCUUCGGGUUGUAAACUGCUUUUGUACGGAACGAAAAGUCUUGGGUUAAUACCCUGGGAUCAUGACGGUACCGUAAGAAUAAGCACCGGCUAACUACGUGCCAGCAGCCGCAGUAAUAC